CCGUAACUAUAACGGUCCUAAGGUAGCGAAAUUCCUUGUCGGGUAAGUUCCGACCCGCACGAAAGGCGUAAUGAUUUGGGCACUGUCUCAACAAUGCACCCGGUGAAAUUGAAAUACCAGUGAAGAUGCUGGUUACCUGCGCCAGGACGGAAAGACCCCAUGGAGCUUUACUCCAGCUUGAUACUGGGAUUCGAUAUUGCAUGUACAGGAUAGGUGGGAGACUGAGAACUGAUGACGCCAGUUGUCAGGGAGUCACUGUUGGGAUACCACCCUUGUAGUAUUGGAUUUCUAACCAGCAGCCGUGAACCGGCUGGGGGACAAUGUCAGGUGGGGAGUUUGACUGGGGCGGUCGCCUCCGAAAGGGUAUCGGAGGCGCUCAAAGGUUCCCUCAGAAUGGUUGGAAACCAUUCGAAGAGUGCAAAGGCAGAAGGGAGCUUGACUGCGACACCGACGGGUGGAGCAGGUACGAAAGUAGGACUUAGUGAUCCGGUGGUAUGAAAGUGGGAUUGCCAUCGCUCAACGGAUAAAAGCUACCCUGGGGAUAACAGGCUUAUCACUCCCAAGAGUUCACAUCGACGGAGUGGUUUGGCACCUCGAUGUCGGCUCAUCGCAUCCUGGGGCUGAAGUAGGUCCCAAGGGUUGGGCUGUUCGCCCAUUAAAGCGGUACGCGAGCUGGGUUCAGAACGUCGUGAGACAGUUCGGUCCCUAUCCGGCGCGGGCGUAGGAUAUUUGAGAGGAGCUGUCCUUAGUACGAGAGGACCGGGAUGGACGGACCACUGGUGUAUCUGUUGCACCACCAGGUGCACGGCAGAGUAGCCAAGUCUGGAAGGGAUAAACGCUGAAGGCAUCUAAGCGUGAAGCCCCCCUCAAGAUGAGAUAUCCCAUAACGUCAAGUUAGUAAGACCCCUUGAAGACGACGAGGUAGAUAGGGCAGAGGUGGAAGUGUGGCAACACAUGGAGCUGACUGUUACUAAUCGGGUGAGGGCUUGACCAA
rnacentral:rRNA from 1 species